rnacentral:sRNA from 1 species
GCUGGGCACGGUGGCUCAUGCCUGUAAUCCCAACGGCUCGGAAGGCUCAGACAGGAGGAUCACGAGUUCAAAGCCAGCUUUAGCAACUUAGUGAGGCACUAAGGAAAUCAGUGAGACCUUGUCUCUA